GCUUAACACAUGCAAGUCGAGGGGCAUCAGGAAGAAAGCUUGCUUUCUUUGCUGGCGACCGGCGCACGGGUGAGUAACACGUAUCCAACCUGCCCUUUACUCGGGGAUAGCCUUUCGAAAGAAAGAUUAAUACCCGAUAGCAUAAUGAUUCCGCAUGGUUUCAUUAUUAAAGGAUUCCGGUAAAGGAUGGGGAUGCGUUCCAUUAGGUUGUUGGUGAGGUAACGGCCCACCAAGCCUUCGAUGGAUAGGGGUUCUGAGAGGAAGGUCCCCCACAUUGGAACUGAGACACGGUCCAAACUCCUACGGGAGGCAGCAGUGAGGAAUAUUGGUCAAUGGGCGCUAGCCUGAACCAGCCAAGUAGCGUGAAGGAUGAAGGCUCUAUGGGUCGUAAACUUCUUUUAUAUAAGAAUAAAGUGCAGUAUGUAUACUGUUUUGUAUGUAUUAUAUGAAUAAGGAUCGGCUAACUCCGUGCCAGCAGCCGCGGUAAUACGGAGGAUCCGAGCGUUAUCCGGAUUUAUUGGGUUUAAAGGGAGCGUAGGUGGACUGGUAAGUCAGUUGUGAAAGUUUGCGGCUCAACCGUAAAAUUGCAGUUGAUACUGUCAGUCUUGAGUACAGUAGAGGUGGGCGGAAUUCGUGGUGUAGCGGUGAAAUGCUUAGAUAUCACGAAGAACUCCGAUUGCGAAGGCAGCUCACUGGACUGCAACUGACACUGAUGCUCGAAAGUGUGGGUAUCAAACAGGAUUAGAUACCCUGGUAGUCCACACAGUAAACGAUGAAUACUCGCUGUUUGCGAUAUACAGUAAGCGGCCAAGCGAAAGCAUUAAGUAUUCCACCUGGGGAGUACGCCGGCAACGGUGAAACUCAAAGGAAUUGACGGGGGCCCGCACAAGCGGGGGAACAUGUGGUUUAAUUCGAUGAUACGCGAGGAACCUUACCCGGGCUUAAAUUGCAGUGGAAUGAUGUGGAAACAUGUCAGUGAGCAAUCACCGCUGUGAAGGUGCUGCAUGGUUGUCGUCAGCUCGUGCCGUGAGGUGUCGGCUUAAGUGCCAUAACGAGCGCAACCCUUAUCUUUAGUUACUAACAGGUUAUGCUGAGGACUCUAGAGAGACUGCCGUCGUAAGAUGUGAGGAAGGUGGGGAUGACGUCAAAUCAGCACGGCCCUUACGUCCGGGGCUACACACGUGUUACAAUGGGGGGUACAGAAGGCAGCUAGCGGGUGACCGUAUGCUAAUCCCAAAAUCCUCUCUCAGUUCGGAUCGAAGUCUGCAACCCGACUUCGUGAAGCUGGAUUCGCUAGUAAUCGCGCAUCAGCCACGGCGCGGUGAAUACGUUCCCGGGCCUUGUACACACCGCCCGUCAAGCCAUGGGAGCCGGGGGUACCUGAAGUACGUAACCGCAAGGAUCGUCCUAGGGUAAAACUGGUGACUGGGGCUAAGUC
rnacentral:rRNA from 1 species